AUUUAAUUAAGAGGUGCACAAACAACAUUUCUCAAGCAUCUUCAAGAAUAUAAAUGGAAAAGUUGAUCUGGAGAUAUUCUAGUUAUGAUUCCAGGCCACAACAAGGUUCAAUAAGUGUCUCUGAGGAGAGAGAGAGAACAGGGGCACUGUCUCUAAAAUGAAUCUCUCUGGGGAACAUCAACCAACACAAAAGCUAAAAGCCCAAUGCAGCAGGAAACCAGACUCACCUGUUCCCAGCUGUGUCCAUGAAGAGUGACCAGUCUAUGGGACGACCAGACAUAUUCACAAAGGGAGAAGGUUCUACUGAACAAAGGUAUGAGGGCUGUAUUUUAUGUAAAAUAUUCCCAUAUGAAAUUCAUGAACGUGCAGGUUUGGGGAGUAACUGAUUACAUGUAAUCUGAUUACCCAAAAAACUGUAACUGUAAUCAGUUACAUUACCAGCUAAAAUGUUGUAAUCAGAUUACAGAUACUUUUGAAAAACUAGAUGAUUACUUCUUGGAUUACUUUUAAAUUCAGAAAGGAUUGCGGAAAAAUACAUUAUGUCACUUUUCUGUUUUCUUAAUGUCAUUCAAUUCGGGAUUGAAAAAAGGUGCAAGUUUAAAUUUGAGUGAGUCUGACCACAAGUCUGAGACUACUAUGUUGACACACCAAACCCGUUUGAUGGAUCCUUUUUGUCUUCUUCUAAUGCCUCUCAAGGAGAAAGUAAUACAAAAAUAAUCAGAUUGAGUUACUGAGUUUGGGUAAUCCAAAAGUUCCAUUACUGAUUACAAUUUUGGACAGGUACACUACCGUUCAAAAGU